AACGCACCUUGCGCCCGCCAGUACUCUGGCGGGCAUGCCUGUUCGAGCGUCAUUUCAACCCUCAAGCCCUGCUUGGUGUUGGGGCCCUACGGCUGCCGUAGGCCCUGAAAGGAAGUGGCGGGCUCGCUACAACUCCGAGCGUAGUAGAAUCCUAUCUCGCUAGGGAGGUGCGGCGUGCUCCUGCCGUUAAAGACCCCAUCUUUAACCAAGGUUGACCUCGGAUCAGGUAGGAAUACCCGCUGAACUUAA
rnacentral:misc_RNA from 1 species